AUGGCCUUGCUUCCCCCAAUAUGGUGGAAAUACUUUGCUGCCACAGAGCCUAGAGGUAUCUGGACCAGACCCUGCUUAGCUGCCACUUCACGAAUGAUGGAUGCCACUGCCAUGACCAUCCUCGAGGGAAAAAACCUCUGCACAGGGAAGGGAGGAGUGAUGACCCCAGGAGUGGCCUUCGCCAACACCAAGCUCAUUGACCGCAUAGUUGAACGUGGAAUGACUGUCUCCAGUGGUGAAGGACAAAAAGGGGCAGAUUCUAAAAAUGCUACAGUGGCAGAAGGACAACGCUAUGAUUUUGUGGUCUUUGGAGCAACUGGGUAUACUGGCCAGUAUGUAGUAGAGGAAGUAUCUCGUGUGGCCCAUCAUGAUUGGACAGAGAGAAACAUACCACUGACUUGGGCUGUAGCUGGGCGCUCUAAAGACAAACUUCUAAAUAGCCUUGCAACAGCACGUAAAGAAACAGGUUUAAACUUGGAAAAUGUAGCAGUCAUCCUUGCUGAUGUUGCAGACCAAGAUUCCCUGAAUAGGAUGGCUGCUCAGUCCACUGUUGUUAUCAACUGCGUUGGACCUUAUCGGUAUAGGAAACGAGUGGUACGUGCCUGUAUUAAAAAGGGUUCAAAUCAGUGACACUCUGGUGAACCACAGUUCCUGGAGGUAUGCAGUUGAAAUACAACUACAGCAGCAGAGAAAGGCAGGAGUUCAUAUUGUUGGUGCUUGUGGAUAUGACUCCAUUCCUGCAGAAUAUAGACUUUCUCAUUUUUUUUUUUUUUCAGGGGAACUGAACUCUGUAGAAAUGUUCGCCACAGUCAGCACUCGGGGUGCAGACUCGACAAUUCAUACAGGAACCAUGGAAUCGGCUGCCUUAGCUAUUGCUAAUCAAAGUGAGAUUGGAAGGAUCCGACAAGAGCUGUUUCCCGUGCCACUACCAAAACCCAAGUUUAAAGUUGCAAAAAAAGGGAUUCUCCACAAGAAUGACAAACUUGGACUAUGGGGAAUAUUUUUACCCACAGAUGAACCAGUUGUGUAUCGGACACAGAGGUACCGCUUUGAUGAACUUCAGCAACGUCCCAUACAGUUUCAACAAUUCUUCGCCACGCGAAGCUUUUUUCAGGCUUUUGGAAUGCUGUUAGGCAUGGUUUAUUUUGCUUUCAUGUGUUACUUUGGCUGGACUAGGAAUCUUCUUUUUAAGUAUCCAGAAAUAAUGACUGCUGGUGUGUUCAAGCAUGCUGGAGCUGAUCGUGAAAAACUGAAAGGUGUGAAAUUCACUGCUACUUUAAUUGGUCAUGGAUGGUCACAGCAACUGUUAGCUGCAUCUGAUCAACAUGUAGACCCACCUGAUUCUUCUCUUCUUGUCACGGUAUCUGGACCAGACCCUGCUUAUGCUGCCACUUCACUAAUGAUGGUUGCCACUGCCAUGACCAUCCUCAGGGAAAAAAGCCUCUGCACAGGGAAGGGAGGAGUGAUGACCCCAGGAGUGGCCUUCGCCAACACCAAGCUCAUUGACCGCAUAGUUGAACGUGGAAUGACUGUCUCAGUGGUGAAGGAGUAAGCAAGUAUUGGAUAAAAAUAAUGUUCAUGUAUAAAAAUUUUGUGUAAUUAUCUGAUUAAUGCAUAUGGAAGUUUGUACUAAAUUAUAAAUUGAGCAGUGAUUUUCUUGAUAUAUGUACAAUACAGUAAAUUAGAAAGUCAAAUUACAUACUACAGUGGUCCUUCAACCUGCAUCAUCUUUAGUGCAGGCACUGUGCUUCCUGCUUCCAGGACUCAGGUUCAGCUGACUGGUUUCCCUCAAUCUAUUCAUGCAUGCUACCUUGCUCUCUUACUGACUCGUGUCAAGUUAUAAAAACUACUUGGCUCCGCUUUGAUCUAAAGUCCUUUCAAAAACUUGAUGGAUGUUAAAGCCCUUAGCACUCAAAAUCUCCUGUACCUCCCUCCCUCCAAAACUUUGGACUGAGAGUCCUGAAGGUAAGAAGAGCAGUGCCUGCACUCUGAAGGUGGUGGUGAUGUCAGAGGGGUAAUCUGUGAUACCAGCACACUUCCAGAAAGACAGCAGUUGAGUGAAUGCUGGUGAAUGGUUUUCUUUGGGUCACCCUGCAUUGGUAAUGGUCAUUGUGUUGUGUUUAUAAAUAAAUAAUGACACAAAUUUUGAUGAUUGGGUGUUUGAAUAUGCUUGGGUUUAGUAUGGACAUAAAGAAAAUUAUUAUUAAUAUGAAUGAAAAGAACUUGAAUGUUCUAGCAGUAAAUGGAACAAAGCUAAAAGGGGGUGGGAGAAUUUCAGUGACAGGAAGAAAUUAUUAUAAUCAAAACUAUAAAGAGCUGAAGAAAAGGUGAAAUUAAAUGAUCAGCUAUGGCAAGAAAAAGAAGGGAUAUAAGUGUAUAAAUUAAUUACCAGGAUUAUAAAAUACGUAGGAUUGGAGAAGUGGUUUAGUGUUUACGAACCUUGAGGGAAGAAGGAAUGUAAUGGGGAGAGAUUUUGGGAAGUGUUAGAGAGUUUUAUGGCAGCUAACUCAAUUACAUAGUUACUAGAUGUAAUGCAUUAUGUUUAAAUUCCAGAUGUAUUUGUUUUAGACUUCAUAUAUAGGGUAGGUAUUACCAGUGAUAGCAUGUUAUAUUACAUUAUUUUGGGGGUAAUGGAAACCCUCAUAGGAAUUAUUUUGCAGUAGCUUUGGUGUUUUAGUAUUGGGUUUGUUGUUAAAUGAAGUUACAUACUGUAGUGAUUGUAGAAUUUUUGGUUUUUACAUCAGUUUUUGUUUCCCAACAUUGUCAACAUUCAAGGGAAAUGCAGGAGACUAUAACAUGAAGGGAAAGGGUUCUGUGUUUGGGGACAUCAGGACCCAUGAAUUAUUCUUUAAACAGGCCAAAUAUGGCAGUUGUUCAUAGUUCAGGGACUGGAGAGAAAAGCUGGUAGAGAUUUUAACGACUCAAAAUAUGGUAGGUCAUAUUCACGAGAUGCUGGACAGUAUCACCCAGGUUAUGUAUUACAUAUUUAAUUCACCCUUUUGGGUUAGUGCACAAUUAUUAUAAUUGAAGAAAGUGCUAAACUGACAAGGGUCAUAAAGCGCUGCAGGGCAGAAAAUAGUGCCGAGGCUAUGAACAGCUAGGUGGAGAGAGGGGAGACACUGAGGGUUAUGUUUCAAAGUUUAUAUAGUAAAGCAGUUGCCGACAUAAGCCAAAGUAAAUCAAAGGCAGGGCCAUCUACAAGAAGGCAAGGGUGGCAGUGCCGUUGGAGGUUAAUCCUGCAAGCUUGCUGGUAAACCGGGCAAUCUACAAGAAAGUAAAGAACUGAAAUAGGGACCCGACAAACCUCAGCGAGGCAUAGGGUGUCGUUCCACGAGAUAUCCAUGGGUAACACGAGUAUGGUCUCCCAAGUACAGCAAUGGUGGUAAGAUGGCCAAAGUUAGUGAACAAACAAUACAGGUAUUUAAGCAGAGCUGAAUUGUUCCUUGAGGAUUUAUUGUAUGUAUUUGUAAACAUUGCAUAGGUAUGAUUAUUAGUCCAAAGAGUUGAACCCAGAUGUCAUGCAGUACAAUAUAGGUAGGAAAUAUUAAUCAGUUAAAAGGGACUCUUGAGUAAUGUAAGGCAAUUUACACAACUUAUUUAAAAAUGUUUAACAAGUUUUAUUUUACAGUAUAUUACAGGAGUCAAGUUUCAUUCCAAUACCUCAAUAACAAAAAAAUAAAACUCCAAAGAACACAAAAAGUAAAGUUUCAGCAAAAUAACCUCAAGUAUAUAAAGAUACUGUAUUGAAAAUAUUUGAUUCUGAACACAAAUGCAUUUACAAUUUACUUCCAAUUUUAUAUUUAUGUACUUUGCAAGACAAUUGGGAGGAUACAAGGGAAAAAAAAAAUGGAAUAUUUGAUACUAACAAAUUUAAGGUUAACUUCUAUUUGACAUCACCUAGUACCUUUGAGUCACCUUUUCAACUCUUGAGCAGGAGUAAUCUUUCAAAGUAUUUCCUAAUCAAAUUUAAUAUGUACAAAAUUAUAAAUUGCAAAUGUAUUCAUAAUUACAAUUUAUUCCUAACAAGUCUAGAAAAUAUGAAUAUUAACUAGGUACAGUCAGCAUUUUGUGCUUUAAUUCGAGAGCCUUCUAUUCAUUAGCCUCUUUUUCAGUAGUUUAAAAAAACUGAUUCGUGUUAUAUUACACAUAUAAUCAGUAAUGAGUACUACUUAUUCCACACGAGAUUUAGGAAGAGAUCGAUAUGAGUGUUCCCAUAAAUUAUUCAACCUUAUACCCUGAGGUACAAGUGUAAAGAUUUUAUAAAGCAGAAAUUUCUCAGACCGGCUAAGAUACUGGGAAAAACUCUGUCACUACACAAUUUAAAUUCACAAACUCACUAUUGGCUACAUUUAAAGUGCUCCAUUUUUUCUGUACGUAUUUCCUUGUUGCACCAUUUUAAUCAAAUUUACGUAAAUAGAAUACGCACACAUGUCUGGUGUUAUAAUGUAGGUAAUUCAGUGUAAAAAUUAAAAGGGUAUGUUCAAGGGUAUAAAUUAGAGCUAAGGCAGUACUGGUGAAGUAGUUUAGACACUUAAAUUAUAAUCAUAGCAACAACACUGCAUGACCCUUGAGAGUUUAGUGCUCAGUUAUGAUUAUAACCAACUAAGCACUAUACCAGUCCUCGAAGUGCCCAGACCCAUGGGGUUGCCCCAAGAGUGUUAGGGGGGGGGUUACAAGAAACUGAGCACCCAGCAGGCUUAUGUGAACAUAUUAGAUAAGAGUGAAAGUAGAAGUGGUUUUCACUGGAUGUGCUGUUGGAGUGUGAUCAAAGAAACUUGUGAAGGGAUCUGAGGAAACUUAGUUUACUAGGUGCCUGCACUCUGAAAGAGGGAUGGGGAAUGUCGGCACACACUGGAAAGAUAGCAUGAGUGAAUGUAUUUCCUUCUUGGUUUCCCUUAAUGCCUUCAUAAAAGUAACUUUGAUCACUCCAACAGCACAUCCAUUAAAAACCACUAGUCACCAUUAGCUCCCCUCUAACAUGCUCGUUCAAGCCUUUAAAAAUCAAGUUUUGUUGUACCCCAGCUCUUCAGUUGUUCCUGGGAUGGCCCCCAACCCUUCCUUCCAUCCCAGCUUUAUACAGUCAUCUGCUCUAUGCUCUAAAUGUCCAAACCACCUCAGCAACCCCCUCCACACUAAAUUUUACUCUUGGUAUCCCCAUGUCUAUGCUUUUAAUUCUCUGCAUAAUAUUCAAACUGCACAUUGCCCUCAAACAUGGCAUCUCCAUUGCAACAUUUUAAUACCAUGCUUCUUAGGAGGGAAGGGGGUGGUAUUCAGGGUAAUAUUUAAAGGGAAGAAGAGUGUCAAGGUGGUGUGGACAUGACAAUAAGGUACAGGCAGGCCCUGCUCAACAGCAGUAUUCAGUUAUACCCACUCUUCAUUUAUUCAAACUUCCUACAAUAAUUCUUUAUUCACCACUCACUAUAAGCCAAGGACAAAAAUAUUUUAUAUGCAUUUUUUAGGCCUAUUCCUUACUUAAUAUAUAAUGGUGCAAACAUAGUUAUCAGGCUUUUAUAUGCAUUUCAAAGUGAAAAAAAGGCUAUGUUUCACUCUACAGCAGUAGCCUGUUGUACAAGUAGGGCCCUCCUGUGCAUAAAUCUAGAGUGGAAGGUAGGACAGGGAUCAGCCCAGGGAUGGUUCGGAGUGUGUGAAGGUUUUAAGCGAGACUCCAGCAUGUUAGAUUGGGGCAAGUAGUACCGAGAUUUAAAUUAGAUGAUGUGCUGUUGGAGUGCUGAUAAGGAAACUAGAAGGGAUUCAGGUGGUUAGUAGUGCCUGCACUCAAAAGGAUGGGAAAAUAUGUUGCAGUUCAGAGGGCCUUUUGAAUUGUGAUAUCUGUACAUUUCUAGCAAGAUAGUGAUUGAAUGAGUGGUAGCAAAUAUGAUUUUGUAUUUGUCACCUUACAUUUUUGGGAGACAGCUGAUGCAAAAUAUAAGAGUGAAUGAAAGGACACAAGUGUACAUUUAGGACUUCUUUACUGGAUACACUUUGGUCCUCAGACCUUGAUCACUCCAAUAUAAGAAUGUUAAGCACUAAACCCAAAGGGGUCCCCAGGACCAAAACUUAUCCAAUAAAGAUGUGCCAGGUAUGCACUUGAGGCCUUUAAACCAUGUCGUAUACCUUCUACUUUAUAAUGUAUAUAAAAGAAAAAAAAAAACAGUCAGCUUGUAAUUCAUCAGAUUUUCCAGUGACAAAACCAUAGUAGUAACACUCCUUGUUUAGUAUGGUCAUUUACCAUCACAAAAAUUUAGUUAACUAUAGCAGUAAGAAAUCAGGAUGUGUGAUAAAAUUGUGUUCUUUAAAUGGACUGUACAGUAUACAGUUAUCAAUGAUGGGAACCCAUGGCCUGAGAUUACCAGCCUGUCACCAGAGCCACUGAACCACAGACAAAGGGAUGGGCUGGUAAUCCCCGAGUAUGAAUUUUCAUUAUUCCAAUGAACUGCUACAUUCAUUCACUCCACACAUGCACGUUAUAAAAAUGGAGACAUUAGAAAACAACAAAACUUAAGUUUAUAUUAGCAUAUACCAAUUAGUGUGAAUAACAAAUUUUUAAUACAUAAAUAUGACUUUUGUACUCUCACUACAAUGUAUUAUGAGUGACAAUACUUUGAGUGUUAACAGAAACAGGUGCAAAUCAGACUGAACACACUUCUAAAAGGCAAAAAAUAAAUUUUAUUAGAUGGCUGUGUUCCCGAGCCAUUUUUGUAAAAAAUGCUACUUAGUCUAGCAAUCUAUUACACAAGUUAAACUGUCCACAGUAAUCACUGUCUAAAACUAUAAUUUUUCAUGAAGUUUAUACAUUUCUUAAAAUUUAAAAUGUGAAAGGCAAUACCAACUUGAAACAAAUUUUACAUGGUUGAAAUAUCUUUGCACCUCAAUCACUCCACAUUUUUAAAGUGUUAUGAGGUUUUUAUGUUCACUAACAAUGAAGCCAAUUUAUGAUGCUAAUGGGCUAAAUAAAAGUUAUUUUCCAUGUAAGAAAUUAACAUUGUAACAAGUGUCCUUGGAAAAAUAAACAUUGUAUUGUACCACA